GCUUCCUUAACUCAGCAGGUAGAGUAUUUGCAUGGUAAGUAAAAAGUCGUCGGUUCAAUUCCGGCAGGAAGCA
rnacentral:tRNA from 1 species